UACGUAGGCAGCAAGCGUUGUUCGGAUUUACUGGGCGUAAAGAGUGCGUAGGCGGUGUCGAAAGUUUGGCGUGAAAUCUCCCGGCUUAACUGGGAGGGUGCGCCGAAAACUGCGGUGCUGGAGUGUGGGAAAGGCAAGCGGAAUUCCUGGUGUAGCGGUGAAAUGCGUAGAUAUCAGGAGGAACACCGGCGGUGUAGACGGCUUGCUAGACCAUAACUGACGCUGAGGCACGAAAGCGUGGGUAGCAAACAGG
rnacentral:rRNA from 1 species